GUCCAGUAACAACAGCAGGAUACCCAUAGACUUCCACUUAGCAGAGUGAAAGGAUCUUGUUAUGACCCUCCGUUUUCACAGUCACAUAGCG